rnacentral:tRNA from 1 species
AGAUUAAUAGCUAAAGCGCUUGAUUUCGACUCAAGUUUUGGAUUAAUUAG